rnacentral:rRNA from 1 species
GAUGAACGCUGGCGGCGUGCCUAAUACAUGCAAGUCGAGCGAACGGACGAGAAGCUUGCUUCUCUGAUGUUAGCGGCGGACGGGUGAGUAACACGUGGAUAACCUACCUAUAAGACUGGGAUAACUUCGGGAAACCGGAGCUAAUACCGGAUAAUAUUUUGAACCGCAUGGUUCAAAAGUGAAAGACGGUCUUGCUGUCACUUAUAGAUGGAUCCGCGCUGCAUUAGCUAGUUGGUAAGGUAACGGCUUACUAAGGCAACGAUGCAUAGCCGACCUGAGAGGGAGAUCGGCCACACUGGAACUGAGACACGGUCCAUACGCCGACGGGAGGCAGCAGUAGGGAAUCUUCCGCAAUGGACGAAAGCCUGACGGAGCAACGCCGCGUGAGUGAUAAAGGUCUUCUGAUCGUAAAACUCUGUUAUUAGGGAAGAACAUAUGUGUAAGUAACUGUGCACAUCUUGACGGUACCUAAUCAGAGAGCCACGGCUAACUACGUG